UACGUAGGGGGCAAGCGUUGUCCGGAAUCAUUGGGCGUAAAGCGCGUGUAGGCGGUUCAGUAAGUCUGCUGUGAAAGUCCAGGGCUCAACCCUGGGAUGCCGGUGGAUACUGCUGGGCUAGAGUACGGAAGAGGCGAGUGGAAUUCCCGGUGUAGCGGUGAAAUGCGCAGAUAUCGGGAGGAACACCAAUGGCGAAGGCAGCUCGCUGGGACGUGACUGACGCUGAGACGCGAAAGCGUGGGGAGCAAACAGGG
rnacentral:rRNA from 1 species